rnacentral:rRNA from 1 species
UGAACGCUGGCGGCAGGCCUAACACAUGCAAGUCGAGCGGCAGCGGGUCCUUCGGGAUGCCGGCGAGCGGCGGACGGGUGAGGAAUGCAUCGGAAUCUGCCCUGUCGUGGGGGAUAACCUAGGGAAACUUAGGCUAAUACCGCAUACGACCCACGGGUGAAAGCGGGGGAUCGCAAGACCUCGCGCGAUAGGAUGAGCCGAUGUCCGAUUAGCUAGUUGGCGGGGUAAAGGCCCACCAAGGCGACGAUCGGUAGCUGGUCUGAGAGGAUGAUCAGCCACACUGGGACUGAGACACGGCCCAGACUCCUACGGGAGGCAGCAGUGGGGAAUAUUGGACAAUGGGCGCAAGCCUGAUCCAGCCAUGCCGCGUGGGUGAAGAAGGCCUUCGGGUUGUAAAGCCCUUUUGUCCGGGAAGAAAUCGUCUGGGCUAAUACCCCGGGCGGAUGACGGUACCGGAAGAAUAAGCACCGGCUAACUUCGUG